UACGGGGGGAGCAAGCGUUGUUCGGAUUUACUGGGCGUAAAGGGCGCGUAGGCGGCCACCGCAAGUCAGUUGUGAAAUCUCUGGGCUUAACCCAGAAAGGUCAACUGAUACUGCGGGGCUAGAGUGCAGAAGGGGCAACUGGAAUUCUCGGUGUAGCGGUGAAAUGCGUAGAUAUCGAGAGGAACACCUGCGGCGAAGGCGGGUUGCUGGGCUGACACUGACGCUGAUGCGCGAAAGCCAGGGGAGCGAACGGG
rnacentral:rRNA from 1 species